CUAGAGCUAAUACAUGCUAAAAAUCCCGACUUCGGAAGGGAUGUAUUUAUUAGAUUAAAAACCAAUGCCCUUCGGGGCUCACUGGUGAUUCAUGAUAACUCCUCGAAUCGCAUGGCCUUGUGCCGGCGAUGGUUCAUUCAAAUUUCUGCCCUAUCAACUUUCGAUGGUAAGGUAUUGGCUUACCAUGGUUUCAACGGGUAACGGGGAAUUAGGGUUCGAUUCCGGAGAGGGAGCCUGAGAAACGGCUACCACAUCCAAGGAAGGCAGCAGGCGCGCAAAUUACCCAAUCCCGACACGGGGAGGUAGUGACAAUAAAUACUGAUACAGGGCUCUUUUGGGUCUUGUAAUUGGAAUGAGUACAAUUUAAACCUCUUAACGAGGAACAAUUGGAGGGCAAGUCUGGUGCCAGCAGCCGCGGUAAUUCCAGCUCCAAUAGCGUAUAUUAAAGUUGUUGCGGUUAAAAAGCUCG
rnacentral:rRNA from 1 species